UACGGAGGGGGCUAGCGUUGUUCGGAAUUACUGGGCGUAAAGCGUGCGCAGGCGGUUUUGUAAGUCUGACGUGAAAUCCCCGGGCUCAACCUGGGAAUUGCGUUGGAGACUGCAAGGCUAGAAUCUGGCAGAGGGGGGUAGAAUUCCACGUGUAGCAGUGAAAUGCGUAGAGAUGUGGAGGAACACCGAUGGCGAAGGCAGCCCCCUGGGUCAAGAUUGACGCUCAUGCACGAAAGCGUGGGGAGCGAACAGG
rnacentral:rRNA from 1 species